rnacentral:lncRNA from 1 species
CCAUAGGUAGAGAUGCUUCUGUAAUUACAUGCAACGCACAUCCUGCUCCUGUAAAUUCCAAUUAGCAAAAGCAAAGAGGCAGUUUGAUGGUCAGAAAGCACAUGGGCAGCACCACGCAGGUGGCUGACACUGGGAUUGGAAGCAGCCUGGUGCUGUUAGGAUAACCCAUGGCCUGUGCUCUGCUGAGGGAGCCUAUUUAUAACCUGCUGCAGGACUCUCCUUCAGUAGAGCCUGUUGAUCCCCUGGUACAGCAAGACAGGAACAAUACUGUGAUAGCGUGGGGAAUGUGCCCCUGUCAGGACAAGAAUUUUUCUUUGUUUUAUGAGCAUCAUUUAUGACCCUGACCUUCAAUGCAGGGAAAAGUAUCAAUUUUAUGCUGCUGAUAAAGAAGGGGAGACAAGGCAAACAUGAGAAAAUUUCAACUAGAUGAUGAAGAAAAAUGAUAGCACUCCAAUGCUGUAAAAGUAAAGAGGCUUUUAACAAUUUCAGAAUGGAAAGAGAAGGGAAUCCUAAAGAGAUGUUAGAGAUGAUCAAUUCAGACUUCUCACCAUUUGCCUGUCAUCCAUCUGUCCUGGUCCCCAGAGCGUGCUGUUUCUUAUUGAUGGAAGACUUACUGGACCAUCUGUGUGCUUCCUGUCUGCACAGGUCACAAGUGUUCAAGUUGUUCCCAGGUUAAAAAAUCACAGCUUCUGCUUUAAAUUCCCUUCUCUAUGCAUUUCUGAAGGAAGGAAAAGACUCAUUUAUGAAUGUCUGGGAAGGCCAUACGAGGUCAAAAGCACUCUUAAUGAUGAAGUGUUCCUUAGCUGAGCAAUACAGCUGGAGACAACACUUCCAGUUUUGUUUGUAGGUCCUGGCAGUACUUGGUGAGGGAGAAACAACUGUGCUGUGAGAUCUAGAGAACAGGCGCUUACGUAUAUAAGAUUCUUGGCCAUCAUUCUGCAUCAUACUGCUUGACCAUUAGUGUGACCAUCUCAGAAACAGGGUAUUUUUCCCCCUGUUUGAAUUCAGUCUCCCUAUAUAAAACCCAUUUGUGUAUUCAGGAGUUAAUAUGCUGAAGAAAACACAAUUCUGUAUAUAUUUUUAUUAAAAUCCAAUAAAGUCCUACUUAAAAAGGAGAAGGACUGCA